rnacentral:rRNA from 1 species
GACGAACGCUGGCGGCGUGCCUAAUACAUGCAAGUCGAGCGAACCACUUCGGUGGUUAGCGGCGGACGGGUGAGUAACACGUGGGCAACCUGCCUGUAAGACUGGGAUAACACCGGGAAACCGGUGCUAAUACCGGAUAAUCCUUUUCCUCACAUGAGGAAAAGCUGAAAGUCAGUUUCGGCUGACACUUACAGAUGGGCCCGCGGCGCAUUAGCUAGUUGGUGAGGUAACGGCUCACCAAGGCGACGAUGCGUAGCCGACCUGAGAGGGUGAUCGGCCACACUGGGGACUGAGACACGGCCCAG